rnacentral:pre_miRNA from 1 species
AGUGAAAUUGCUGGACCAUAUGGUAAGAAAAUGUUUAAUUUUGUAAGAAAUUAUCAAACAGCUUUCCAAUGUGUAUAUACCAUUUGGCAUCCUCACCAGCAAU